AAAAACAUAGCUCUAGAAAUAAUCUAAAGCGCAACCUGCCCAAUGAUUUUUAAGUAAAAAGAAAUAAAACCCUUAAAAAAAAUUAAAAGGACGCAGUAAACUGACUGUGAUAAUGUAGCAUAAUCACUCGCCAUUUAAUUGAUGGAUAGUAUGAAAGGUUUAACGAAUCCCUCACUGUCUCGAAAAAAGAGCCUUUGAAGCUAAAAUAGUAGUUAAGAUGCUACUUAAAAUUGUAAGACGAAAAGACCCUAUAGAGCUUAACUAUAAUCUUCUUUAUAAAGAAGAGAGGUAGUUUAGUUGGGGCGACUAUCUUUUAAAACCAACAAAGAUGAGCAAUAGUAAUAAAAAUACUUAUUGUAUAACAAAUAGGUUUAACAAUUACUAAAAUAGGCUAUAAUGACCCGUUGUAAAUUAACAAAAAUCACAACGAUUAACAAAUAAAAGCUACCUUAGGGAUAACAGGAUAAUUUUGUUCUAGAGACCAUAUCGAAAACAAAGUUUAUCACCUCUAUGUUGAAUUGAGAUAACCUAAUAAAGCAGAAUUUAUUAAAGGUAGGUCUGUUCGACCUUUAAAAUCUUACAUGAUUUGA
rnacentral:rRNA from 1 species